rnacentral:rRNA from 1 species
UGCUCCCUGAUGUUAGCGGCGGACGGGUGAGUAACACGUGGGUAACCUGCCUGUAAGACUGGGAUAACUCCGGGAAACCGGGGCUAAUACCGGAUGGUUGUCUGAACCGCAUGGUUCAGACAUAAAAGGUGGCUUCGGCUACCACUUACAGAUGGACCCGCGGCGCAUUAGCUAGUUGGUGAGGUAACGGCUCACCAAGGCGACGAUGCGUAGCCGACCUGAGAGGGUGAUCGGCCACACUGGGACUGAGACACGGCCCAGACUCCUACGGGAGGCAGCAGUAGGGAAUCUUCCGCAAUGGACGAAAGUCUGACGGAGCAACGCCGCGUGAGUGAUGAAGGUUUUCGGAUCGUAAAGCUCUGUUGUUAGGGAAGAACAAGUGCCGUUCAAAUAGGGCGGCACCUUGACGGUACCUAACCAGAAAGCCACGGCUAACUACGUACCAGCAGCCGCGGUAAUACGUAGGUGGCAAGCGUUGUCCGGAAUUAUUGGGCGUAAAGGGCUCGCAGGCGGUUUCUUAAGUCUGAUGUGAAAGCCCCCGGCUCAACCGGGGAGGGUCAUUGGAAACUGGGGAACUUGAGUGCAGAAGAGGAGAGUGGA